rnacentral:rRNA from 1 species
UGGGGAAUAUUGGGCAAUGGGGGAAACCCUGACCCAGCAACGCCGCGUGAGGGAAGAAGGCUUUCGGGUUGUAAACCUCUGUCCUUGGGGACGAAGUAAGUGACGGUACCCGAGGAGGAAGCUCCGGCUAACUACGUGCCAGCAGCCGCGGUAAUACGUAGGGAGCGAGCGUUGUCCGGAAUUACUGGGCGUAAAGGGUGCGUAGGCGGCCUGGUAAGUCAGAUGUGAAAUACCCGUGCUUAACAUGGGGGGUGCAUCUGAUACUGUCAGGCUAGAGUGCAGGAGAGGAAAGCGGAAUUCCUAGUGUAGCGGUGAAAUGCAUAGAUAUUAGGAGGAACACCAGUGGCGAAGGCGGCUUUCUGGACUGUAACUGACGCUGAGGCACGAAAGCGUGGGGAGCAAACAGG